ensembl:piRNA 21ur-569 ncRNA
UAUUUUUCAGAGAGUCAGGAU